rnacentral:rRNA from 1 species
AGCCCUUGACAUGGCAGGACGGUUUCCAGAGAUGGAUUCCUUCACUUCGGUGACUUGCACACAGGUGCUGCAUGGCUGUCGUCAGCUCGUGUCGUGAGAUGUUGGGUUAAGUCCCGCAACGAGCGCAACCCUCGCCUUUAGUUGCCAUCAUUUAGUUGGGCACUCUAGAGGGACUGCCGGUGAUAAGCCGGAGGAAGGUGGGGAUGACGUCAAGUCUUCAUGGCCCUUACGGG